rnacentral:rRNA from 1 species
UACGUAGGGUGCAAGCGUUGUCCGGAAUUAUUGGGCGUAAAGAGCUCGUAGGCGGUCUGUUGCGUCCGCUGUGAAAACUCGGGGCUUAACCCCGAGCCUGCAGUGGAUACGGGCAGACUAGAGGUAGGUAGGGGAGAAUGGAAUUCCCGGUGUAGCGGUGAAAUGCGCAGAUAUCGGGAGGAACACCGGUGGCGAAGGCGGCUCUCUGGGACGGUACUGACGCUGAGACGCGAAAGCGUGGGGAGCGAACAGG